UAAUGUGUGAAAAACCAGGGUCCGGGA
rnacentral:piRNA from 1 species